GGCAGAUGAGCGGUUAUGUCUAAACCAGGGAAUAGUUCUGAGAGGAGCAGAAGCGGCCGGGACGGGGAACGCUGAGGGUUGCCCUGGAAACCUUUGAGGAGGUAGACUUGGGGAUGUCCUUGUUCCUCUCCUCUCCUCCAUCUUGUUCGUAAUGGAAUAUCACAGCGCCAAACACAGUUCAGAAGUUACCUAUUCUCUUUCUGCCUUAUGAGGAGACAAAACACCAAAGCCUGGACCAUAUCUGAUUCACAGGUGGAAGCAGAUAAUUCUGAGCCCCAGGAAAAAAUGGAGGGAGAAGAUUAACAAGUCUGCUGUGUGAGUCACCAGAUGGAGGACAGCUGCCAACCAAGCAGGACACCUGUGGCAAGAAAUCAACUAUUGUAUGAAGUCACUGAAAUCAAGAGGGCUCUUUGUUACAGUAGCUGACAUUGAAUGCACGGAUACUCUGACCCUUCCUCUCUAGUCCCCUGAUAACAGUAAACCUUGGACACCCACCUGUCAUUCUGCGACAUGAACCUCUAAUCCCCAGUUGUGGUGUCCAGGCUUUCAUAUAGCAGUUUCAUACAGUGGCCCAAAGGCUUUAUGUUUACUAAUUAAAAGUUACCAGUAUAUGGGGUGCCUGGAUGGCUCAGUGGGUUAAAGCCUCUGCCUUCGGCUCAGGUCAUGAUCCCAGGGUCCUGGGAUCGAGGCCUACAUCAGGUUCUCUGCUUGGCAGAGAGCCUGCUUCCUCUUCUCUCUGUGCCUGCCUCUCUGCCUACUUGUGAUCUCUGUCUAUGAAAUAAAUAAAUCUGAAAGAAAAAAAAAGAAUGUGUUCAACUUAAAAAAAAAAUUACCAGUAUAUUCCCCUCCAUUCUUUGCACAAAUGUAAACUUUCUCCCAUGUACUUAUGGAAGUUCUCUUCCAGGCUGACAGUUGGAAGUCAUUAAAGCAGACCUCAAGCAUUGAGUUAGGUCUUCGACCAUCAUUAAGCAGAGCCAGAUUACACAGGAUCUUGUGGUUGCCCUGAAAAAAAGUCCAUGCUUGCCAGAAACCCAUCAGUCUGAUUUAGGGUGGCUAGGUAUAUGUUUGGGAGGGUGGGGAGGAUAUACACAUCUUCCUGCCUGUCUCUUUUGACCCAUCCGUACGGGAAUGCACCUUCAGACCUAAUCUUUUUUUUUUUUUUUUAAGAUUUUAUCUAUUAAAAAAUUUUUUUAAAAAGGAUUUUAUUUAUUUGACAGAGAUCACAAGUAGGCAGAGAGAGAGAAGGGGAAGCAGGAUCGCUGCUGAACAGAGAGCCUGAUGCGGGGCUCGAUCCCAGGACCCUGGGAUCAUGACCUGAGCCAAAGGCAGAGGCUUAACCCACUGAGCCACCUAGGCACUCCCAGACCUAAUUUUUAAAGUAGGGUCCUGGGUGUGCCUGUCUGGCUCAGUCAGUUAAGCAUCUGCCUUCGGCUUUGGUCUUGAUCCCAGGGUUCUAGGACUGAGCCCCACAUCGGGAUCCCUGCUCAGUGGAGAGCAUGCUUCUCCCUCUCUGUUUCCCC